UCGGAUGGAGAAGGACGCGUGAAGUGAGAAGAAAAUUACGUGUUGUUAGGCCUCCGCGGCCACCGCCGCUGCCACCGCGCCCUCUUCUCCCGGCCCCCCACCGCAUUGCAGGCCGCCACCACUGGCCUGGGGGAGCCAGAGAGCCCUCUCCACGGGUGGAGACGCAGCCUGGAAGGCCGUGACGCGGAGGGGCCUCACACUGGCGCCACCACUUGGAAGCCUCGAUCCAGGCGACCAAGAAGCUCACCCUCUUCCCCAACGCAUGGCCUCUAAGACGUUUGCACGGAACUUUCCUCUCUUUCAAGAUCAUUGUAGACCAACUUGGAAACAGACUACUUCCUUGGUGGGCCCAGAGUCACUGGAUACUCGAAUUCCAUUCAUUUGAAUCUAUGCACUCACCCAUUUCGACAAGCCUCAGUGGAACCCCCAGCCAGGGCCCAGCACCAACCAGAGAUCAGGCCUGCAUUAUCGCCAGUGCAGGCUGCCAGCGAGGAAACAGAGUGUGCUCACAGGUGCACCCGAGGAGAGCCCAAAGCACCACAGAGAAAGAGAGCGAGUAAUAUAAUGGGAAGAUUCCUGUAGCUAUUUAACACAGACCUCAUCCACCCACGUCAGUCUGUCAGCCCCCUAAUCGCUGGUUCCUGGCCUGCUAGGAGAUGAGGAGCUCGCACCAGACUGUAAAUAGACUGUGUCACUAAGCGGUUUUUUCAUAGCAAGACUUUCUCAGUGAAGGAAGCAGUGCAUUUUACAUUCGGCUGCAAAGAGUUCCUGGAUCUGCACUUUGGGUCAGGACCAAUCUAUCCCUUAGUCACAACAGGCACCCUGCCUCAGUCCCACAAUAAGGUUAGGGGCAGGGGUAACCUAAAAAUGCCCCCUGCCACAGAUGUCCACAUCCUAAUUUUCAGAACCUGUAGGUUUUACACAGUAAAAGAAACUUUGUGGGUGUGAUGACAUUAAGGAUUUUGAGACAAGGAAAUUAUCCCUGGUUAUCUGGGUGGGCGCCAAAUAAUUGCAAAGCCCCUUAGAAGCGGGAGGCCAGAGGGGAAGAGUUGGAGAAGAUGUGCUGAUGGAAACAGAGUUCAGGGUUGGAGAGAGGUUUCAAGAUGUUAAUCUGCUGGCUUUGAAGAUGGAAGAAGAGACCACAAGCAAAGGAAUGUGGACAGCUCGGAGAAGCCGGGCAAAGCUGGCACAGCUUCUCCCUGAUUGUCUCCAGGAGCGACCAGAACUGCCAACACCUUGACUUCAGCCCAUUGAGAUGGAUUUUGGACUUCUGACAACCAGAAUUGUAAGCUGAUUUUCUCACCAUUCUGCGACAGAAUAUGAGACAAGCACCGCCAUGAAAGAGAUAAAAGUUUCCAAGAACAGCCUAGCGCUCUUUGAGCAGUGCUCCUGCUUCAGCCAGUAGAACUGAAUUAGUAAGAAAAUUGGCCUGUGACUACAGUUUUUAUUUCUGGAAAAUCAGUGUCUUCCACAUCCUAUUAAAUUCAAGGCCAGCUCCUGGUUCCCAUUUCUAGAGAACUGCCUUACCUACUGGAAAAGAUUUAAGCAUCAGAGUCUGCUGACACAGGAAAAGGAGGCAGAAGGAAAGGCUGGCUAUACUCAGAGAACUUCAGGAGGACCUUGGCACACACCAAACUCUACAGGAAACUGCAGCUCAAAGGCCCAUGGCUCUACUGUCACUGACAGUCCCACAUGGAUGGCGCAGCCCUAGAUGGCAGUCAAGGAAGCCAAGGAUAGGAGAAAUUGAGCCACCCUUACCAUGACUUAAUAUGUAAAGCAAAAAUGAAACCAAUCCACUCUCCUUCAGAUCAUAGUGAAAUUUGGUAAUUAAACUUAAUUUAUAUAAAGAAUUCAACAUCUAGAGCCCCACCAUCUCCUUUUGACUUUAAAAGAUAAAACAACAAAGAUUCAUUUAACGUUAUGAGUAUGCUUUCCCAGUUCCUCUCUUGUCACUUCCCGUUUCCACGUUCAGACCUUUUAACCAUCAGCAAGUAGGGUGGGGUUUCUCCACAUCACCUUAUGAGGGUCUUUCCUACCAUUUCCCUGCCUGGAGAUCUCUGACACCAGAGCUGAAGCCCAGAGCCCCUCCUCAUAUUGUCUAUCGAAUGAGAGGACGAAAGUUGCGUUCUAGAAGUGUUGGAAGGAAUCUUACAUGUCAGCUAGAAUCAUCACUUCAACUCACUUGUUAAGGAAGCUGUAGUCCAGGGAGGAGACAGGACUUAUACAAUGGCUGUUUUAGAUCCAAAAAUGCAAUUUAGAUCUCAAAACUUUCAUGUAUGUUUGUAUACAUUUAUUCCACAACUGGGAUAUUUGAUGAAUAUUUUUGUAUAUCUGUGACCUGUUGAGCAGUAUGUAAAUAAGACAGAGCCCUCCCCUCAGAGUUUUUAUUCUCUCAGGGCACAUAGGCCAUAAGUGGACCAUUUUCACAAAGAUUUACAGCCCAGCGCUCUGCCCCUAAAUCUCACAGCUGGUAUUUGGACAACAAAUUUGACUCUUCUCAUCUAUAGAAAAUGGUACAUCUGCAGUUGUGUACACCACUUACAGCUAUUCUGACAAGAAUGACAAUAGCACCACCACUCACUUUAAUCCAUCUGAUCUGUGAUGACAAAAACAAAAAUGAAAAUUCACAUACCUAAACAACAUCUGUCCCCCGAAAGUUUGUGUGAGUAAAGAAAGAACGCAGCCUUAGGGACCAGAAAGACCUGGAUUUGAAACUCUGAUCUAUUGUUAAUACCUCAUGGCUGUGGGGUACCUGGGUGGCUCAGUCAGUUAAGCA